rnacentral:pre_miRNA from 1 species
AAAGAGUGUAGUUUUACAGUGCUCACAUCCAAAGUUUAACCGUUUAUCUUAUUUAAAUUUUUUAUAAUUAGUAUUUUUUUAUUUUUAGAUGAUAAAAUAUAAAUAAUACUUUAUAUAUCACUAUUUUUUUAAAUAAAAUUAUAAAUUUUUUAAAUAAAACGGAUGGUAAAAUAUUUGACACGGAAACUUGUAUCUGUACUCAAA